rnacentral:lncRNA from 1 species
GGCCCAGGCCCCAUGAGGCACCAGUGGAAGCACAGCUCCAAGUUCAGACAGGUGCCCUUAGAGAGGAAACCCAUGACAGGCAAAUGCAUUUCCUCUGGAGUUUGAGACCCUGACGAACAACAGGUGGCAUCUGGUGUGCCGUUCUUGAGUUUUCGUUUAGGAUUCGUUGAGUUCCAGCUGGGUUUUGGGAGAAAGGAGAUGCUACCAAGUCUUGGAUGUUAGGGCGAGACCCUGCAAGUUGAGUAUUAGUGGGAGAGCUUGUCUUUCAAGGCAGGUUCCUGGGGCUUCAGGGCUAGGAGGCAGGAGCUUGCCCUUUUAACACAACCCCAGUCACCCAUGCGGCCCAGGCCACUCAGAGGCUGUUGCAUUUCAGGGCUGUGUUGGUCCUCUGUUUACCUCCUAAACCACAGCUGUUUGUGUUUCACAUAUGUUCUGAAUUUUCCUUGGUUCUUUUUAAAGGAAUGAUAAUAAAGUUACUUGCUUUA